ACCGGCGCACGGGUGCGUAACACGUAUGCAAUCUGCCUUGUACUGGAGCAUAGCCCUCGGAAACGAAGAUUAAUACUCCAUACAGUCUUACUAGCGCAUGCUAGUAAGAUGAAAGCUCCGGCGGUACAAGAUGAGCAUGCAUCCCAUUAGCUUGUUGGUGAGAUAACAGCUCACCAAGGCUACGAUGGGUAGGGGUUCUGAGAGGAAGAUCCCCCACACUGGCACUGAGAUACGGGCCAGACUCCUACGGGAGGCAGCAGUAGGGAAUAUUGGUCAAUGGGCGCAAGCCUGAACCAGCCAUGCCGCGUGCAGGAUGAAGGCCUUCAGGGUUGUAAACUGCUUUUGUAUGGGAAUAAAAAAGUCCUUGCGAGGACUCUUGAAGGUACCAUAAGAAUAAGCACCGGCUAACUCCGUGCCAGCAGCCGCGGUAAUACGGAGGGUGCAAGCGU
rnacentral:rRNA from 1 species